AUACCAUGAUGAGGACAUUUCCUAAGCAACUCUUAGAAUAUUUCUCAUGUAUUAUACAAGCUUUUAUCUUCAAGUUGAUGGAAAAAUUUGAUUUUAUUCCUUAACUU
rfam:Citrus sinensis cultivar Ridge Pineapple sweet orange scaffold02493_contig_2, whole genome shotgun sequence.